rnacentral:rRNA from 1 species
UACGAAGGGGGCAAGCGUUGUUCGGAAUUAUUGGGCGUAAAGAGCUCGUAGGCGGUUUGUUGCGUCGGCUGUGAAAUCCCGAGGCUCAACCUCGGGUCUGCAGUCGAUACGAGCAAACUAGAGUGUUGCAGGGGAGACUGGAAUUCCUGGUGUAGCGGUGAAAUGCGCAGAUAUCAGGAGGAACACCGGUGGCGAAGGCGGGUCUCUGGGCCGAUACUGACGCUGAGGAGCGAAAGCGUGGGGAGCGAACAGG